rnacentral:tRNA from 1 species
GGUCCUUUCAUAUAGUGGUUAGUAUGCUACCCUCUCACGGUGGAAACACGGGUUCGAGUCCCGUAAGGAUCACCA